rnacentral:tRNA from 1 species
GGUGGAUUUAGCUCAGCUGGUUAGAGUACCGGAUUGUGGUUCCGUGGGUCGUGGGUUCGAAUCCCACAUUCCACCC